GCUCGAAUGGUGGAAUAGGUAGACACGCCGGACUUAAAAUCCUGUGGCCAGUAAUGGCCGUGCCGGUUCGACCCCGGCUUCGAGUA
rnacentral:tRNA from 2 species